rnacentral:misc_RNA from 1 species
UUAAGUUCAGCGGGUAAUCCUACCUGAUUUGAGGUCACAUUAAUAAAUUUGUCCAAGUCAAUGGACUAUUAGAAGCUGAACCUGCUUCACGUCAAUAGCGUAGAUAAUUAUCACACCAAUGAGCGUUUGGCAAAAAGUUGUCCGCUAAUGCAUUUAAGGAGAGCUGACCUCAAAAGCGGCCAGCAAACCCACAUUCAACC